UUUCCGUAGGUGAACCUGCGGAAGGAUCAUUACAGAGCGUGAAGACUCCUCGGCCCCUCCAGCGGCGCAAGUCGGUGCGAGGGAUACAUGCCGCGGGGUCGACCCUCCCACCCGUGUCGAUAUUAUCCUCCUGUUGCUUUGGCAGGCCGGGGCAACCUGCUGGCCCCCUUGGGGCUGGAGCGUGCCUGCCAGAGAAUGUAUUUUCAAUAUGUUUUGGAACAACUCGUGUUAUUGGUGAAGUCUGAGCACAAUGUGAGAAAUUAGUUAAAACUUUCAACAACGGAUCUCUUGGCUCUGGCAUCGAUGAAGAACGCAGC
rnacentral:misc_RNA from 1 species